AAAAUGUGAAAUUAUGCGAUUGUGAUAAAUUUAUCAAACGGCAUUCCGAUAAAAGGUGCAGAAAUCCAGUGCAUCGUACCAUAAUUUUCAUAUAAGAGACAAUUCGUUGGGUCUGAAUCCGCAUUUUAAAUCAAUUUAAUCAAACAAUAUUUUGUACGGACACAAAAAAAUAUGGCAAUAGCAUCACGGCAAUUAUGUGCAAAUUAGAUAAAUGGACAAACUAGUUAUGAUAGAUUAGAUAAUAUAGGCUUAUCAUAUUUCCCAUUAAGAUGCUUGCCCGUUCCAAAAUUUGGUUUUCUGGAUUGUGAUAAGAAGCCAGUGUUCAAAAGCCACCCAAAAACUGCUAAUGAGUUUUUAAAAACGCUCGGAGAAACAAAUUGCUAGAUAAAAGUCAGAUCACUAGACAAGCCGGUUCCAAAAAGCUUUCAUUUAACAGAUAAUAAGAAGGAGAAAAACUAAGUUUUUAGCAAAUAUGCAGUACCGACAAUUACCAGCACUGGACCUAUCGCCGCACAGCUGAUUGCCCGCCAAUCAGCUGGGCGAUAGUUGCUGUAUCGAUAGCCGACCCAUCGAUAACGAUAUGUGUAUUUUCCUGCUCUCUCUGCACCAACACAAAACACGCAACUAAAUUUCGGUUAAAAACCCCAGCUAAAAACAAUGUAAUCGAAACGGAAUCAUAUAAAGUGAUUAAAUGGCCAACGCGGCGGCGCCGAAAUGCGAGCGCAGUGCAUUUUCCGGAUGAAAUCGCGUUUUCGGGGAAACUUACACAAACAUUUUUUUUCGUAAGCGCUCUCAUGUUGUCUCUUUCGCACAGCAGAAUUACUAGUUGCUGUGUGUGUGCGUGCGUGCGUUUGUGUGUGCCGUAUGCCGUAUGCCAGUGUGUGCGUGCGUGAUUGUGUGUGUGAGUGACUUUGACUGCAGUUCGCGUACGUUUUUUAUUAAUACACCACAUAACAACAAUCACAACAACAAACAGUAAUGGAAACUAAACAUAUUUAAUGCGAGGAGACCAGAAAUCGUCUGAAACGGCAAGGCUUUAUCACCAUCGCCACCACCACCAACAGCACAGCAACAACAACAAAUUACUACAGCAUGUAUGCUAGUGUGCGUAAACGUAUUUGUGUUAAAUAAUGUUUAAACUGGCAUUUCUGAUUUCGCACACAAAACAAUAUUAAGUUGUAGUCACCAGCAGAGAGGAGCAAUUGAAGUAAACGAAAAAGAGCCAACGUUAUCAUUAAAAUUCGCCUCAAAUACAAGCAAUAAUACAUAAUAUAAAUAAAACCCGAAAGAAAAAAGUUCAACAUCUAGUAAAGAAAGCAAACAAAGUUUAGAAGCACUUGCAUUAACGAAAUCGUAGCCAUUAGCUUUAACAAAGUCGCGUAAAAAUUUUGAGCAGAACUUAGCAAGCCUAUAAAGUACGCCUUCCAAUAGUUAUUAUAUAUACACGCAUUAUAUACAUAUGCAUAUACACAGCCAUAGCACUUACAUACAUACAUAUAUACAUAUACAACAUCGGUCGAAGGGAAUUAUAAAAUGUGAAACCCACACGGGAAGCGAAUGAACGAUACGGAAUCGUGGAAAAAGUGCGUUAUAUGCUAACGGUGCAAUCAAAUCUUAAUGUAGCCAAGCGAUACUAACAUAUAUAGCACAUAAUAUAUAUAUAUAUAUUUCUUACAUCCAUCAAGUAAAUCAACAAUUUUUACAAUCCGCAAACUUAAGCAGCUUCAAAAUCAACCAACGCAAUUACUUUAAGAGAUUUACUUUAUCGGUAAAUGGACAAGCAUAAAGAAAACAUACGAAUAUUGGAGAAAAACAAAAAAUCAAGUGCAAAUAGCAACAAGUUAUUCUAAAUAUUAUAAUGAGAAUUAUACGAAAUUUCCAAUAUUUAACUUAAAUUAUCCUAUUAUUCAUAGGCCUAAGUAAUGAAUAAUAGAUUUUAUAUAUGCGCCCCAAGUGCUUAAUUAACAACAACAUCAACAACUACAGCAACAACACCACACAACCAAAUCAAGAUUAAAAAUAAUAAAAACUAUGUAAAACAACAACAACCUCAACAAACAGCGAAUCGAGCAAUAUUAUCAAUAAUAACUCUGUACAUUGUUAAACGUUAAAAAUUCAAAUUCAAACAACGCUAACAACCUGCCAAUAUCAACAACAAAUAAAACAACAACUAAUGCGGUGCCCAGGAUCCAUCGCCCACUUAAGCAUCCCGCCACAGGAAAAGUGCACAGAAAAUCCCCAAG